CUACUCCCAUGGAUUCAGUUGGUCAGCCGGUCCACGCCGAAUCUGAACGCUCCACUGGUGUCCGCUCUUGCUGAUCGGUGGAGGCCGAAGACACACAAUUUCCAUCUUCGGACUGGGGAGAUGACCGUGACGCUCGAGGAUGUCUCGUUGAUCACCGGUCUUGCUAUCGACGGGAUGUCUCUCUGUAUGAGCACUGAUUCUGAUGGGUGGCACGAGCAAAUGAUUGCUCUUAUCGGUAUGGCUCCUACCGAGGCUGAGGCUGAUGUAGAGGAUUGA
rnacentral:rRNA from 1 species